rnacentral:misc_RNA from 1 species
GAUGAAGAACGCAGCGAAAUGCGAUAAGUAAUGUGAAUUGCAGAAUUCAGUGAAUCAUCGAAUCUUUGAACGCACAUUGCGCCCCCCGGCAUUCCAUGGGGCAUGCCUGUUCGAGCGUCAUUUGUACCUUCAAGCUUUGCUUGGUGUUGGGUGUUUGUCUCGCCUUUGCGUGUAGACUCGCCUUAAAAUAAUUGGCAGCCGGCGUAUUGAUUUCGGAGCGCAGUACAUCUCGCGCUUUGCACUCAUAACGACAGCGUCCAAAAGUACAUUUUACACUCUUGACCUCGGAUCAGGUAGGGAUACCCGCUGAACUUAAGCAUAUCAAUAAGCGGAGGA